AGUGAACGCUGGCGGUAGGCCUAACACAUGCAAGUCGAACGGCAGCACAGUAAGAGCUUGCUCUUACGGGUGGCGAGUGGCGGACGGGUGAGGAAUACAUCGGAAUCUACUUUUUCGUGGGGGAUAACGUAGGGAAACUUACGCUAAUACCGCAUACGACCUACGGGUGAAAGCAGGGGAUCUUCGGACCUUGCGCGAUUGAAUGAGCCGAUGUCGGAUUAGCUAGUUGGCGGGGUAAAGGCCCACCAAGGCGACGAUCCGUAGCUGGUCUGAGAGGAUGAUCGGAGACACUGGAACUGAGACACGGUGCAGAGUCCUACGGGAGGCAGCAGUGGGGAAUAUUGGACAAUGGGAGCAAGACUGAUCCAGCCAUACCGCGUGGGUGAAGAAGGCCUUCGGGUUGUAAAUCCCUUUUGUUGGGAAAGAAAAGCAGCAGGUUAAUACCCCGCUGUUCUGACGGUACACUAAGAAUAAGCACCGGCUAACUUCGUG
rnacentral:rRNA from 1 species